AUGGAGGUGUCAACCAUCCGUCAGGACACACACUGCGAGGGAGUGAAGACAGUUCAAUAUCUGCUGGGAGAACUCAAGGCUCUGAUCACCGGACAAGGCAGUGUUGCAGAGAGGCUGCUCAGUCACCUGGAGCAGGCCGUGUCCUCACCGCUGCUGAAUGAUGGCGACUCAAACAUCCAGACUGAGAGUGUUCCAGACAUGACGUCGCUGCACCGCCAAAACGUUCAGCUCCGCAGGCGUGUGCAGAUUUUGAACCAGCAGCUGAAGGAGAAAGAGAAAGCUGAGAGACGACAGAACAUGGAUAGCAACUCAGAAGUGGCGACUCUGCAGGAGGAGGAGCUCACCGUGGCUCAGUCCCGGCUGCAAGAGCUGCGGCGCGACGUCACAGAGUUGCGUACGGGCCUUCAGGACCGAGAGGCCCAGAACGCACUCAUCCGGACAGACUUGGAGGCGACGCGAAGCCGGCUGGUGGACGCGGAGCGAGAGAAGAGUGAGUUGGCCGCACUCGCCCAACAGAGACUGGAAGAGAUAGGGCGCCUGAAGAGGAUGCUCCAGAGCCGCAGCUCAUCGGAGUGUCCUGCAGCAGCUGACACGCACCAGCCUCCCACCGAGCACGUCGCUCGGUACCUGAUGUCUCUCGGCCGGCUGGGUCCCGCGGCCGCACAGAGGGAGAGCGGCGCCGCGGUCCACUUGUGCGACGUCCCACCCCAGCGGGGCGACACACCCGCAGAUCCCCCAGCUGCUCCCGUCGGCCGGUCACGCUGCCCGGGCGAAGUGCAGCCGCGCGGUUGGCGGGCGAACUCCACACUGUCCCAGUGCGAUGUGGAAUCUUUGUGGUCCGACUGGAGCGCGAGGUCGGGGUCGACCUUCGACACCCGGGACGAGGCGGCAUUCCGAGACGGCCUGGCAGCCCUGGAUGCGAGCAUAGCCAGUCUGCAGAAGACGAUUCAGCUGGAUCUGAGGAGGUGAUCCCUCCCCCGGCGCCACAUGAACUACUCUCCUCGUGUUUUCAUGAAAUAUACUGCACAAGCCUCCUCUGUAUCUUGUGUUUAGCUCUUAUCGAUCAUUUAAACUGUGACAUAUAAGAUUGGAAAUAAAGGAUUUUACUAAAUAUGUGUCUAGGCUGUGAUGUAAACAUGACGGGCAAGGUGGCCUCCUGGCUGGGCUUUUAAAACCUCUUCUCUCAAAGGAGCCUUUCUUUUGAAUUCAAACAUCACGCAGCACCACGCUGGCAGUGGCUCAGGAGCGGUGGGUCGUCCACCAACCUGGUUCCUGGUUCCAAUCCAGCAAACUCUCCCCGGUCCACAUGCAAAUGUGUCGUUGGGCGAGACAUUGAAUCCUGAAGUGCCUCUGCAUGGUGGCUCUUCAGCAAGUGUAUGAAUGGGACAGUGCGGUGAACAGCAGCGCUGUGUGAAUGGGACUUGUACUGUCUGUGAUACAUUGUCCAUUGACCAUUAAGCUGUAAUAAAUAAA
rnacentral:lncRNA from 1 species